rnacentral:rRNA from 1 species
UGGGGAAUUUUGGACAAUGGGCGCAAGCCUGAUCCAGCCAUGCCGCGUGCGGGAAGAAGGCCUUCGGGUUGUAAACCGCUUUUGUCAGGGAAGAAAUCUUCUGAGUUAAUACCUCGGGAGGAUGACGGUACCUGAAGAAUAAGCGCCGGCUAACUACGUGCCAGCAGCCGCGGUAAAUACGUAGGGUGCAAGCGUUAAUCGGAAUUACUGGGCGUAAAGCGUGCGCAGGCGGUUUUGUAAGACAGAGGUGAAAUCCCCGGGCUCAACCUGGGAACUGCCUUUGUGACUGCAAGGCUUGAGUGCGGCAGAGGGGGGAUGGAAUUCCGCGUGUAGCAGUGAAAUGCGUAGAUAUGCGGAGGAACACCGAUGGCGAAGGCAAUCCCCUGGGCCUGCACUGACGCUCAUGCACGAAAGCGUGGGGAGCAAACAGGAUUAGAUACCCUGGUAGUCCACGCCCUAAACGAUGUCAACUGGUUGUUGGGAAGGUUCCUUCUCAGUAACGUAGCUAACGCGUGAAGUUGNCCGCCUGGGGAGUACGGCCGCAAGGUUGAAACUUAAAUGAAUUGACGGGGUCAUAGCUGUUU